rnacentral:tRNA from 1 species
GCCUCAAUAGCUCAGCCUGGUAGAGCAACUGCCUUGUAAGCAGUAGGCCGGGAGUUCAAAUCUCCUUUGAGGCU